AGCAGCCGCGGUAAUUCCAGCCCCUAUAGCGAUAUAUUAAAGUUGCUGCAGCUUAAAAAGCUCGUAGUUGAAUUUCGGGACCAUCAUGUCGGUCGUGCCUCGGUACGUACUGGCAUCGUUGGUUUCUCCCUUCUGAAGAACCAUGAUGUCAUUAAUUUGGUGUCUUGGGGAAUCAGGACUGUUACUUUGAAAAAAUUAGAGUGUUUAAAGCAGGCUCGCGCUUGAAUACAUUAGCAUGGAAUAAUGAAAUAGGACGUUUGAUUCUAUUUUGUUGGUUUCUAGGAUCGACGUAAUGAUUAAUAGGGAUAGUUGGGGGCAUUAGUAUUCAAUUGUCAGAGGUGAAAUUCUUGGAUUUAUUGAAGACUAACUACNUGCGGAAAGCAUUUGCCAAGGAUGUUUUCAUUAAUCAAGAACGAAAGUUANGGGAUCCGAAGACGAUCAGAUACCGUNCGUAGUCUUAACCAUAAACUAUGCCGACUAGGGAUCGGAUGANGUUAAUUUUUUAAUGACUCA
rnacentral:rRNA from 1 species